UACAGAGGUCUCAAGCGUUGUUCGGAUUCAUUGGGCGUAAAGGGUGCGUAGGCGGCGCGGUAAGUCGGGUGUGAAAUCUCGGAGCUUAACUCCGAAACUGCAUUCGAUACUCCCGUGCUUGAGGACUGGAGAGGAGACUGGAAUUUACGGUGUAGCGGUGAAAUGCGUAGAUAUCGUAAGGAAGACCAGUGGCGAAAGGCGGG
rnacentral:rRNA from 1 species